rnacentral:rRNA from 1 species
UGCAGUCGAACGGCAGCACGGAGCUUGCUCUGGUGGCGAGUGGCGAACGGGUGAGUAAUAUAUCGGAACGUACCCUAGAGUGGGGGAUAACGUAGCGAAAGUUACGCUAAUACCGCAUACGAUCUAAGGAUGAAAGUGGGGGAUCGCAAGACCUCAUGCUCGUGGAGCGGCCGAUAUCUGAUUAGCUAGUUGGUAGGGUAAAAGCCUACCAAGGCAUCGAUCAGUAGCUGGUCUGAGAGGACGACCAGCCACACUGGAACUGAGACACGGUCCAGACUCCUACGGGAGGCAGCAGUGGGGAAUUUUGGACAAUGGGCGAAAGCCUGAUCCAGCAAUGCCGCGUGAGUGAAGAAGGCCUUCGGGUUGUAAAGCUCUUUUGUCAGGGAAGAAACGGUGAGAGCUAAUAUCUCUUGCUAAUGACGGUACCUGAAGAAUAAGCACCGGCUAACUACGUGCCAGCAGCCGCGGUAAUACGUAGGGUGCAAGCGUUAAUCGGAAUUACUGGGCGUAAAGCGUGCGCAGGCGGUUUUGUAAGUCUGAUGUGAAAUCCCCGGGCUCA